UAGCCAACACUUUUCCUGCAGAAUUUUUCUCCAACUGUAAGCGAACACACCUGAACCUGUUAAUCAAGAUUGAAUCACAGAUAGGUGUGUUAGAGCAAGGUUGGAACUGAAAUACCUCUGGUUCUGACAAAUCUAGGCUAGUUGCUAAAAGCUAGUAGAAUUAUUUUAGUUCAGCCUCAGGGCUGUUGAAAAUUUCUGUGGGCUCCAAAAACUUGCUAACUUGAACUGUACGGUCCCAUUGUUUUGAGAUCGUGUGGUUUGUAAGAAAGUGAAGGAUGGUCAUUUCAGCUGUCCCGACAGUCAGUCGAUGUAAGAUCUGCCUGGCGAGACACUUCAAACCUCCAGUGAGCACAUUCCCUCAUCUCAUUCAUAAUGGAGAGGCAGCUCUUUCAGUUCCUGGAAGGACAGGUCCGCAGACAGAUCCCUGAGGUCUGACUAUCACCACCUUUCCUACGCUGAGGUUGGAUUUAGAAGGCUUCAUUUGAUACGGGACCCUCAAGGGAGAUUUGAGGUUUAGUUCUUUUUUUUUUUUUUUUAUUCAUCAAGAAUAUUUUCAGCUCUGCUUGGGACAGCACUUCUUUUGUUGCAGAAGUAGAAGCAAUUUUUUCUUCAUUCAGCCCUGUUGGAUAAAAAGAGGCAGGAUGUGGGCACUCCUGAAAGUGCAUCUGUAACUGCAGGGGCUCAUCUGAGAGCAGAGUCCUGGUGCUCUCAAGUUAUUUUGGAUGACAUUGACCUAUUUUUGGCUCUGCUGCUGAAUAAAAAUACCUCUGUCUAAAUGUCUCCUUGUGCAUUAGAGACACCUUGUCUGAGCAGAGACACCUGCUCUAAAGACCUGUGUGGGAAAAGCUCUCAACUCAUCCCUCAUAGCCUUUUUCUUUAUUUGUCACAAUAUGUAAAAGUCAGGCUAAUGCCUAUAUGUUAAAUGUGUUUGUUGUCAUUUUUGUGUAAUCUUAUGCAGAGGAAAAUCAUGAUUCAUCAUGAUCAUUCUAUGAAUCCCAACCAGUGCUGUUCCCUGUUUA